GAUUAGGCUUUGAUCCUGGCUCAGGAUGAACGCUGGCGGCGUGCCUAACACAUGCAAGUCGAGCGGAGCAAAUAUCUAACAUUGAGUAUUCGAUGAAAUAAGGGAGAAAGAAAGCCAGCGUCAAGCACGAGAGCAGCCCCUUAGAGAGCAAAAGAGUGCUUCACGCAUUUAGUGCCAACACAUGAGAAGGUCGAGUAUUGAAUGUUAGAUAUUUGCUUAGCGGCGGACGGGUGAGUAACGCGUGGGCAACCUGCCCUGUGCAGAGGGAUAACAACGGGAAACCGUUGCUAAUACCGCAUAAAACCUUUAAGGGGCAUCCCUUUAAGGUCAAAGAAAUUCGGCACAGGAUGGGCCCGCGUCUGAUUAGUUAGUUGGUGGGGUAAUGGCCUACCAAGACGAUGAUCAGUAGCCGACCUGAGAGGGUGAUCGGCCACACUGGAACUGAGACACGGUCCAGACUCCUACGGGAGGCAGCAGUGGGGAAUAUUGCACAAUGGGCGCAAGCCUGAUGCAGCAACGCCGCGUGAGCGAAGAAGGCCUUCGGGUCGUA
rnacentral:rRNA from 1 species